CGGCGGACGGGUGAGUAACACGUGGAUAACCUACCUAUAAGACUGGGAUAACUUCGGGAAACCGGAGCUAAUACCGGAUAAUAUAUUGAACCGCAUGGUUCAAUAGUGAAAGACGGUUUUGCUGUCACUUAUAGAUGGAUCCGCGUCGCAUUAGCUAGUUGGUAAGGUAACGGCUUACCAAGGCAACGAUGCGUAGCCGACCUGAGAGGGUGAUCGGCCACACUGGAACUGAGACACGGUCUAG
rnacentral:rRNA from 1 species